AGCUGACGAACCGGGGAAAAGUCUUGUGAGUGUGCGUGAGCGAGAGAGGAGCCGGGAUUUCACCGUGUUGAGCCUCUGAGAACUCCGACUGGUUUUUCGUUUUGGUUUCGUUCAAAGGAUUAGGAUUUGAUUCGGAUUCCGGACCGAGGAGGUUCGGUGGCGAGCCAUUAGGACGAGCGAUUCAGACGGAACGGUGCAUGGUCUGGCCAACUGUGGGAUUCAUUCCGAGGAGCUUCUGACACCAUCUCACUUCACUUGUGACACAGAUAAGGACAUAACACAAAAAUCUACCCGGGUAGUAACCUUAAGGACUGAACUUUGAACAUUACACACACAGGACAUGAACAUAAACUGAACUCUAACCUUCUACAAAAGAAGGAGGGACACUUUCUUUUGAAUUUUUUUUCAUUUUUUAUUUAUUUUAUUAUUUUUCAACCAAUUAAAAAGAGCUCUAUUUUUCUGUAUAUUUUAUUUUCAAGCUCUCCGAACCUAGCGAGAGUGUUAGUGUCAUUUGUUUGUUGCUAAUCAGACUACAGGCGCUACAACAUUCAAUUGAAAACAGUGAAAAUAUUUUCUGUUUUUAUUUACAUUUCGCACAGCAUCACAACUUUUCAGGGUUCUGGGUUGUAUCUAAAGUUUAAGAGUUUUUAACAAUUUGGUCUGUUUGACCAAAUAUAGUCAAAAUCUGUCCUUGUAAGAUUUGUCUCAUGCCUUAGAAAUUCAGCAUUUAGACCCCCAAACAGCUUUCUUAUUAAGACUUGUGACUUGGCAUGGACUUCCCCUUAAGGACUUGUGUCACUGUGUGAGUUUAUCCACAGGAAGUUUUUUCUGAUUGACUAACAUAGUUCUCUCAGCAUGUUUUCAUAAUGUUUUUGUUGUUGUGUUUGUAUGGUCGGACUAGAUUUAUGUUUUCCAGAUGUGCAUUUAAUGGAAACUUUUGCCAUUUGUUUUCACUCGAUUGAUUAGUCAAUGAUUUAGAAAUUCAGAAAGCAUUAGACAUGUUUACAUUUUGAGUGAAACUAAACAUGUUUGACAAUGUGGCAAAUGUUUAAAAAUCAAGAAUUGAAUGAGUAAGUUAAGCUUUUCCAGAAAAACUACUCAAUUAUACCACAUUUGUGCAUAUUUGUUUGUUUUUUAAAUGACUUAAGUGUCAAUAAAGUAGUUAAACUUAAACUAGAGCAGAACAACAUAUUGCACCACUGUGAAGUAUUUAAAUGACUUUCUCUCUGCCCCAACAUAACAUAAAUGUUAUACUUUCAUUUCAUUCUUAUUUUACAAAAUAUAAUGACAUCAGGCCUGACUGAAUCAGUUAAUAAUCUGUGUUCACGUGAAGGUGGAAACCAACACCAGGUGAAAGACAAAGUGAAACAUUUCUCAAACAUGACGAUGAACAGUGUUAGGCAUUUUUGUUGUGGGAACAAAUCCCCCAGGGGAUAAUUUCCAAGCAUAUCUGAAAUGUGUUAGUCAUCUUAGUUGUAAUUUUGUUAUUAUUUUCUCAGAGCUGAAUACUUCAACAGAAACCACCCUGAAAUAGAAACCAUAUGGGCGUAUUUUUCCAUCAGUAUUUGUGAGGAUCAACAACUCUCUGGUUGCUGAUUUUGGCCGGGAACAGACAUGUAUGGUUAAAUCUCCUCUGAAAGAGAAAACAGGCCCGACAACAAGACUAUUGGUGUAGAUCGUGAGCUGGCCCCGGAGCUACUGUCUGCUCUACUCUCUCACUGGUCAACCUAGUGCGAGCAACAGGUUUGGGCCAGAUCCAGAAUGUCCAAAUAAGAGAGAAAGAGAAGAGAUAGAUUUUUUCUUUCAUUAUUUUUAUGGGAAAAUAAUGUUAAACAAAAAAUUACACUUUGUUUUUACGCACUACAAAUAAACAAUUUCUACAUUACAUAUUCAUCAGCCCAACUCUACUCACCUGCCCACUCAGCUGCUUCUGGUCACUAAUCAAGCCACAAUAAAAACUCCUUCCAGACUGUUCUCUGCAAUUUGAUGCCAGACUUUCCAGAAUUUGAACUGAUUUCCUGUUUCCAACCCUGCCUGCCUCUGAUCUACCUGUCUUUUCUGGCAACCAGUAAACUCACCAACUUUCUGUUCCUGAUUUUGAGUUAUUCAGCCUGCUGAAUUAACUUAUCUGCUGAGACUUUAUUGAGAUACUUUGCUGUUGCAUUCAACCUGUUCAUUGUGCAUUUCACCUGAAUUGGAUUGUACCUGUUGAGUCAGGAAAAGUCAUUAACAACUAUCCUGUGUGCUGCAAUUGGGUCCAUACACAAUGUCAUGAUAAUAUGAAUUGAUAUAAAUUAUAUUGUUUUGCAAAAUCCUGUUGUCUGGACAAAUAACAGAAUGAGGCAUAAUUAUGAUGAAUAUGAAGUAACAGUAUUUGUUUAUAUGUUUAUCUGUAUCCUCAUUAACCACUAUGGAGGUAGCAGCUACUCUUCCUUGGAUCCACAUAAUUAAUCAUUACAUUACAUUACAAAACAUUUUAAGCAGCAUAAAUGUAAUUAUGAGUACAAGAAAACUAACA